rnacentral:rRNA from 1 species
UACGGAGGGUGCAAGCGUUAUCCGGAAUUACUGGGUUUAAAGGGUGCGUAGGCGGCUAAGUAAGUCAGGAGUGAAAGUUUGCGGCUCAACCGUAAAAUUGCUUUUGAUACUGCAUAGCUAGAAUUAGGAUGAGGUCAGCGGAAUGUGGCAUGUAGCGGUGAAAUGCAUAGAUAUGCCAUAGAACACCAAUUGCGAAGGCAGCUGGCCAGACCUGGAUUGACGCUGAGGCACGAAAGCGUGGGGAGCGAACAGG